CUAGAAUGGGCUUCUUACUACACAAAUAGUUCAUGUUGUGUGGUUCAGAGAAAAUACCCACAAGCAUGAUGUGAAUAAAAAUCACCAGUAUUUCACCUUAAAAAGGAACACGAUGAGAAGCUGAGGCUCUGGGAGCUGAGAUAACUUGUCCACAGCCUCACGUCUAGAGAUGAGAAGAACUGGGUUUCAAGCAGUCACUCAGUUCUUCAGAAGGAGAGCUGGAAAAGGCCGAGGCCAACUGCGGCAUCCAGAAAGUUAUCUGCACCCAGUGAAAGGAAGGAAUGGGACGCCGAGAUGCCCAUUCGGUUUCUCUACCAGGACAGCGUGUGGGAAGACGUGUGCAGUAAGAUGCAAAGACCUGGAUUCAGAGCCGGGGAGAGAGAGGAAGAGGGCAGGGAGAGCUAAGCCAAGUUAAGCCUCCUUCCACCACACAUGGACGCUACUGAGCAAUGCUGGCAGG